AAGGGGGAGAGGGAGAAGGUGGGCAAGGGGAGGGAGAGGAGGCCGGCAAGGGAGUGGAGGAGAAAGAGGGCAGCAAUGAUGGCGAGAGAGGAGAGGGAAAGAGCAGGAGAGAGGGGGCAACGGGAGGAGAGAGACGAGAUGCAACUGAAGAGGAGGGCAAUGGAGGAGAGCGGAGAUGAAGAGGAAGCAAAGGGAGAGGAGGGUGGAGAGAAUGGGAAAGAGGGAUUCAAGGGCAGUGGUGAGGGAAAAGCUAAGGCUAGCAAUGAAAAAGGUGAAGAGGUCGGCCAUCAUCUCUCCCUCUCUCG
rnacentral:lncRNA from 1 species